rnacentral:lncRNA from 1 species
UUUAUACAAUACACUCUCUGUAUAGGAUUAUUUUUCCUCACUAAAAAAAUAUAUAUUAUUUUUACCCAACUCCACUGACCUCCACAACCUCUCCCCGCCACCGCGGCACCAUAGUCGGUGGCCACUGUGUGUCGCCAUGCGCCACCGUCGAAGGAGGUUUCCAGUGGCAGCGACAGUUUUUCCCCUCUCCUUCCUCUUCUCCGUCACUUCCAACAGGUUCGAACAGUUCUCCGCAGGGGCAUUUUUCUCUCUCUUUAUAUCAAAGUAAGAUUUCUGCAAAGAAGAAGGGAAACCCCAAUAAGCUGAACAUGAGCAGCGAAGGAACAUAGUUUCUAGGAUCAUCAUCGAGUUUAAAC